GAAAUGCGAUAAGUAAUGUGAAUUGCAGAAUUCAGUGAAUCAUCGAAUCUUUGAACGCAUAUUGCGCCCUUUGGCAUUCCGAAGGGCAUGCCUGUUCGAGCGUCAUUUCACCCCUCAAACCUCACCGUUUGACGUUGGGCCUUGCCGGUGUCGGCAUGCCUAAAAACCAGCGACGGUUCCAGCCAACCUCAAGCGUGCAAGUAUCGUUAUGGGCGAAGGUUGGGGCCUGUCUUAACUAUUACAUUCCAAAUGUUGACCUCGGAUCAGGUAGGGAUACCCGCUGAACUUAA
rnacentral:misc_RNA from 1 species